rnacentral:rRNA from 1 species
GAUGAACGCUGGCGGCGUGCCUAAUACAUGCAAGUCGAGCGAACGGACGAGAAGCUUGCUUCUCUGAUGUUAGCGGCGGACGGGUGAGUAACACGUGGAUAACCUACCUAUAAGACUGGGAUAACUUCGGGAAACCGGAGCUAAUACCGGAUAAUAUUUUGAACCGCAUGGUUCAAAAGUGAAAGACGGUCUUGCUGUCACUUAUAGAUGGAUCCGCGCUGCAUUAGCUAGUUGGUAAGGUAACGGCUUACCAAGGCAACGAUGCAUAGCCGACCUGAGAGGGUGAUCGGCCACACUGGAACUGAGACACGGUCCAGACUCCUACGGGAGGCAGCAGUAGGGAAUCUUCCGCAAUGGGCGAAAGCCUGACGGAGCAACGCCGCGUGGGUGAUGAAGGUCUUCGGAUCGUAAAACUCUGUUAUUAGGGAAGAACAUAUGUGUAAGUAACUGUGCACAUCUUGACGGUACCUAAUCUGAAAGCCACGGCUAACUACGUG